rnacentral:tRNA from 1 species
CAAGAUAUAAUUUAGUCAGAAUGUUGGCUUUGGGGGCCAGUUGUGAGGGUUUAAGUCCCUCUAUCUUGA